CGGGACGGGGUGAGUAAUGUCUGGGAAACUGCCCGAUGGAGGGGGGUAACUACUGGAAACGGUAGCUAAUACCGCAUAAUGUCUGCGGACCAAAGCGGGGGACCUCCGGGCCUCGCGCCAUCAGAUGAACCCAUAUGGGAUUAGCUAGUAGGUAAGGUAACGGCUUACCUAGGCGACGAUCCCUAGCUGGUCUGAGAGGAUGAUCAGCCACACUGGGACUGAGACACGGUCCAG
rnacentral:rRNA from 1 species